AAAUUGUAAUAUGCGUAAUAUGCAUUCGUGGGUUUAGUACUUUAUGCCUGACAUAACAAGUUUACGCUGAGUAUUACCAUUCAUUAUAGCAGUUAUGUCAAUCUUUUAUGCACUCGUGGGAUUAACUUAGUGCUAGGGCAUUGAAUAUCGAACAAUACGUCGAUUUCAAUGAUUUUGUUUUUUUUGAGACACCCUGUAUACGUGACAAAAGCGUGUCUUAUUUACAAAAGAGAUCAAUCCGUCAUGUCCCAUAAGUAGAAAAUCUUUUGUUUUACGACUCGCUAAAUGAUUCCAAGCAAUUAUACUUGUCAGGUAAAUUCAAUACAUUAUGACUAAUCUGAAUUUCAAAGGCUAGCCUUUUUUUUAUACAGUACACACUGUAUAAAGUGGUAUGAUUCGCCAUAAGUCUCUCUUCAAUCGCGCAGUAAAAAAAGAAUGCCCACAGGGGGGGAGGGGUGUUAGAGAGGAAGUUAUACAGGGUGUCCCAAAAACCCCAAAAACUAUUGAAAUAAAUGUAUUGUUAGAAUUUGAAUGCCUCAGCACUCUGUUGAUCCCACACGUAAGUAAAUUUUAUGCAUAAAGAAAUCGUUUAAGAAACUGUUUUAAAUUCCCAAGAGCAGAAAAUCGUGCGCUUUACAAAGAUAUUUUAAUUUCUUCAUGCACCCUUGUCAAUAUUUUACGCAUCUUUGCGUUCAGCUUAGUGCUAGGGCAUUCAAUUUUAACAAUACGUUAUUUCAAUGGUUUUUCGUUUUUUUUGGGAUACCCUGUAGAGGACUUAGGUCCAUUAUAUUUUUAUGAUGUUUACGAAAUUUUUGAAAGUUUAAACUUGGUGAUAUACUAUAUUCAUUAACUAUUUAUAGCUAUGUUUCUAUGUCAUUUCGCCUAUAUUGUAGUAGAUUUUUUAUGUAAUUUCUAAAACUGGUGUCAGAUUAC
rnacentral:lncRNA from 1 species